UGAGGAAUAUUGGUCAAUGGGCGAGAGCCUGAACCAGCCAAGUCGCGUGAGGGAAGACGGUCCUACGGAUUGUAAACCUCUUUUGUCGGGGAGCAAUAAGGCGUACGAGUACACAGAUGCGAGUACCCGAAGAAAAAGCAUCGGCUAACUCCGUGCCAGCAGCCGCGGUAAUACGGAGGAUGCGAGCGUUAUCCGGAUUUAUUGGGUUUAAAGGGUGCGCAGGCGGAAAGUGCAAGUCAGCGGUCAAACGACGGGGCUCAACCCCGUCUCGCCGUUGAAACUGUCUUUCUAGAGUGAGCGAGAAGUAUGCGGAAUGCGUGGUGUAGCGGUGAAAUGCAUAGAUAUCACGCAGAACUCCGAUUGCGAAGGCAGCAUACCGGCGCUCAACUGACGCUCAUGCACGAAAGCGUGGGUAUCGAACAGGAUUAGAUACC
rnacentral:rRNA from 1 species